GACGAACGCUGGCGGCGUGCUUAACACAUGCAAGUCGAACGGAAAGGCCCUGCUCUUGUGGGGUGCUCGAGUGGCGAACGGGUGAGUAACACGUGAGUAACCUGCCCUUGACUUUGGGAUAACUUCAGGAAACUGGGGCUAAUACCGGAUAGGAGCUCCUGCUGCAUGGUGGGGGUUGGAAAGUUUCGGCGGUUGGGGAUGGACUCGCGGCUUAUCAGCUUGUUGGUGGGGUAGUGGCUUACCAAGGCUUCGACGGAUAGCCGGCCUGAGAGGGUGGCCGGCCACAUUAGGACUGAGAUACGGCCCAGACUCCUACGGGAGGCAGCGGUGGGGAAUAUUGCACAGUGGGCGGAAGCCUGAUGCGGCGGCGCCGCGUGCGGGAUGACGGCCUUCGGGUUAUGAACCGCUUUCGCCUGUGACGAAGCGUGAGUGACGGUAAUGGAUAAAGAAGCACCGGCUAACUACGUG
rnacentral:rRNA from 1 species